rnacentral:rRNA from 1 species
AUGGUGGAGGACGAUGGCUCUGGCUCACCGAUUGUAGUGGAGGAUGUCAUCCACAAGGCCGUGGUCGAGGUAAACGAGGAAGGUACUGAAGCCGCCGCGGUCACUGUGGCACCAAGGGGGAGGAGGCCGCCGCCUCCACAAGUCGAUUUCAUCGCCGACCAUCCGUUUGCUUACUACAUAGUGGAGCAGGCGACCGGCGCAGUUGUCUUUGCGGGGCAUGUUGUCGACCCCUCCAAGGAGUAA